UUCAAUACAUGUAGUUCUAAAUGAACCACAACGAAGCAGACUCCUUCAGAAGCACAACACUGAGACUAAGUGACCACAAUUGCUUUCAUUUAACUCCAUCCAUACGCACAGAUAAAGCCCCACAUUUGUGGCAGUUUAUUUUUUUAAGUAUUGAUUCCAUUUUGAGAGUGUCAUAGACUUAGAUAAGCAGAACUAAAAGCACCUAAUAAGUAGCUUUAAUUCUCACUGAAGUUAAUAGGAGUUUAGGGCACUAAAAUCUAAAUCAAGGAGAAAUGAUCAACAAGGCUGCGGGCUUAGGACAGAGCAGACUAACAAUACUGGAGUCAUGCAGGAGGUAGCAUGAAUAGCACACAUACUCGGUGUUCUUGGAUUACUAUUUUUAAGCAACCGCUAUGAGGCCACAGUUCAAAGAUUUCACAGAGAAGAAAUCACAAGAGUUAAGUUUAGCAAAAGCUGACCAAUCUACUGCGAAAUUCAAGGCACGAGGGCCGUAUGAAAGACCCCGGCGUGGAAAGGAAACUGAAGGAGACAAGGGUAAACAGUGGAUGAGCUGCAGAACUUCACUGUUUCACAGGACGGUUACGUCGCUGUGGGAGCGGACUUUGCCUAGAAAGAGACACUUUUUCAGGUGCAGAAAGUUGAAUUCAGGAUAAAGCUCUGAAAGUGUUGUUACCUCGCAUAUGGAACAGCACUUCCCCUGCGAUACCCCAAGCGUCGUCGUGCCUCCCUACGGGGGCAAGAGGGGAAAGGCACAGCGGGAGCCCUUCCACUGCCUCGCCCCGUGGCUUUGGGCAGGUCGAGCGCAGCGCCCGGCAUGCCGCCCCCGAGGCCUCGGAGCCCAGAGCAGCACGAACCCCCGUUUUGGAGCAGGAUACAAGUCCCGUUUCACCCCAACAACACCUGCAGUCCGACUGUCUGUCAGCGCUGGUUCAGACCUACCCCAUGCUGAAGUUUACUGUCAAAUGUAUUUACUGAAUUUCCUGGGUUUGUGUGAAAAUAAACAAGUCAAGUCAUGAGGUCUACGAAGAAAACCAAG